rnacentral:rRNA from 1 species
AUUGAACGCUGGCGGCAGGCCUAACACAUGCAAGUCGAGCGGAGCGGCGGACGGGUGAGUAAGGCCUAGGAAUCUGCCUGGUAGUGGGGGAUAACGUCCGGCAACGGGCGGUAGUACCACAUACUAUCAGAGAAGCCUAGGUCGGAUUAGCUAGUUGGUGGGGUAAAGGCCUACCAGGGCUACGAUCCGUAACUGGUCUGCGCGGAUGAUCAGUCACACUGGAACUGAGACACGGUCCAGACUCCUACGGGAGGCAGCAGUGGGGAAUAUUGGACAAUGGGCGAAAGCCUGAUCCAGCCAUGCCGCGUGUGUGAAGAAGGUCUUCGGAUUGUAAAGCUCUUUAAGUUGGGAGGCGUUACCAACAGAAUAAGCACCGGCUAACUUCGUGCCAGCAGCCGCGGUAAUAC